UGCAGAAGAAGCACCGGCUAACUCCGUGCCAGCAGCCGCGGUAAUACGGAGGGUGCGAGCGUUAAUCGGAAUUACUGGGCGUAAAGCGCAUGCAGGUGGUUUGUUAAGUCAGAUGUGAAAGCCCGGGGCUCAACCUCGGAAUUGCAUUUGAAACUGGCAAACUAGAGUACUGUAGAGGGGGUAGAAUUUCAGGUGUAGCGGUGAAAAUGCGUAGAGAUCUGAAGGAAUACCGGUGGCGAAGGCGGCCCCCUCGGACAGAUACUGACACUCAGAUGCGAAAGCGUGGGGAGCAAACAGGAUUAGAUACCCCGGUAG
rnacentral:rRNA from 1 species